UAUUUUACAGUUGACUGUUUUUCAAUUUGCCUACACUCAAAUCUCUCUCCGUCCGCUCUUGCGCAGAGAUUCGCGUUGUGAGGUUUGGUUUUCGGGCUGGUUUUUGCUGUCGGGCGCGGUUUUUCUGUCUCAGCUCGUUACCGUAACGCCCGCCCGACCCCUGUUUGGUUUUGUCCUUUCUGAAUUUUCGGCGCGGUUUUCCCUUUUCAUUCGAGAGUCACUGUUUCGAUAAAGCAGAGAGAGAGAGAGAGGGGAAGGGGCGCUCGAGCGGAGGAGGAGGAGACCAGGCGAUUCGUGUCGUUCAUGUCGAUUCCGAGACCCCCCCUCCCCCCACCUGUCGAGCUUGAUUUCUCUCCCCUUUCUCUUCGAUUCAUGACGUCUUAGGUUGGUCGGCCUCGUCAUUCUCCCUCCUGCACAUGAUUUUUGAUUGUUUCUGGGUGUGUGGCUUUCCAGAUCUAGGUGAAUUGCUGCCGUGAUUUCUUUGUGGGUUCGUGAUUGGUGUUUGUAGCCGCCGUGUUGUUGUAGAUUCGUGGUAGGCGCUGGUAGUUGUCUCGUUUUUUUUUUGGUUAGAUGUAGAUGUAUGGAUUAGAUGCAGGGUUUCAGAUGAGUGUUUUUGUGGUUAGAGUUUGGUGACUUGCGCUGGCAGGUGGUCUUUAUGUUCGUGGAUCCUGUUGGUUUUUUGUAGUAGAUACAUGAAUUUUGGUGAGGUUUAGUUGUAGUUAGUUGUUAUCAGUGGCCUCUACUGCAUGCAGUGCACAGGUUCCAUGACUUCUGAGUGUUAUCAAUGGCCUCUGGGUGUAUCAGACUUACCCCAGCCUCCAGUUAGCUCUGUUUUUGGUGUAUUUUCCAGGUUAUAUUUUCUAUUUUCCCCUGUGUUCUAGCCCUGUACUUACCCCUAGUUUGUGAGUGUUGGUUCUUAUCAAUGUAUUUUUUCAGUGCUCAUGUAUUAGAGUGUAAGCACAAUAAUUUAUGUGUUCUUUUGCUAGUAUUUGUUUUCUGAAGUUCAUGUAGGUUAUCUAGAUUAUCUAUUGAAUUGUGCGCUUUUCUCUGUAUUUUUAUGUGCUUUGCACUUCAAUUCCUCUAUUCUUUCAUUUUUCUAAUGCUCCUGGUUGAUUGAACCAACCAGGAUUUGCAGUGUAACUCUAUUUGUAUUGAGUCUGUAUUUUACUUAUGUUUCUGUAGUGUAAUUAUCCUAGAGUUACUGCGUAAUUAUGUCCAGAGUUUCAGUGUAAUAUAGGCCAGAGUUACUGUGUAAUUUCCCUGAGUUGCAGUGUAAUUCCCCCCAGAGUUACCGUGUAAUUCUCAUGCUUAUUAUAUGUACUUGACCCUAGAGUUUUACACACUGUGAUUACCCCAGAGUUACUGUGUAAUUACCCCAGAGUUCCAGUGUAAUAUACCUUAGAGUUGUUGUGUAAUUUGUCCCAGAGUUUCAGUGUAAUUACCCCCAGAGUUACUGUGUAAUUCACAUGCUGCUUACAUAUUAUCCCAGAGUUAUAAUGUGUCCCAUUUUUUACAGUGUAAUUUUGUAUGAUUCGGUUAUGUAAUUCCUGAAAUUUUGGCUUUCAUUCUUGUUGAUUGUUCGAGUGUCGUUGUGGUGCAGUUAUGAACUAUGUCCUGUUUACAGUGUAAUCUUCCCAAGAAUUCCAGUGUAACCCUAGUUUUACAUUAUAAACGCCUUGCUUAUUCUAUGUAUUUACAGUGUAAUGUUCCCAAUAAUGCAGUGUUAUCCCAGAUUUACAGUCUAAGCCCCCUUGCUUUUAUUUCUGUAUUUAUAGUGUAAUUUCCGCCCUAAUUUUUAGUGUAAUAUUCAUGCUUCAGCUCUGCAAUUUAUAGGUUUUAGUUUAAUGGGUAAGCUUCGGAAAGUCUCUCGCCAGGACGUUACAUUAGUAUCAUCUUCGGAAUUUGCAUUUGUGGGUUCGGUUCUGUUGCGCCUUCUUCGCUUGGUGUAGCUUUGUUUUGCAUUUCUUCCAAUGUCUGCAGCAGAGUUCUCAAGAUGUAAGUUUCUCAAUUUUUUGUCAGGUCAUGAGUUUUUCACCAAUAGUUUCACUUACUCUAGAAUGAAUUGUUGGGCUGUUGGUGUUAUGUGUUUUGUUACUGGAGUCCUCCACUCUUAAUUGUGUUGUUGAUGUAGCCCCAUUUGCCGAAUGUACCUGCAAUCACCAUGUUAAGUUAACUGGAGUUCUUGUUGGAAUAGCAUACUAAGAAAACACUCUUUUUUGUCAAGAGGUUUGGUACCACUACUGUAUUUCAAAGUUGCUUUUCUGACCUUGUACAUAAUGUCUUAUUGUAGGAGUGCUGUAAAAGAAAACGAUUCCUACAAUGUAUUUUUUGUGUGAGCUAUUUUGAUUUUGAUGUACGCAACAUUUUCUUGUGAGUUUUUGCCAUUUAGUGAUACUCACAUUUUGAAUGAGAUCUUCUUGUGAUAGUGACAGUAGAUUGUCUUUUGUUAUUGUUCUUCUCAUGCUCCCCAUCUACAUUUUUUUGUAAAGAAUUAUCUGUGAAUUACUGGAUCUGUAUAAAAAGUCGAGAAUUAGGAGGACA